rnacentral:rRNA from 1 species
UACGGGGGAGCAAGCGUUGUUCGGAUUUACUGGGCGUAAAGGGCGCGUAGGCGGCCACCGCAAGUCGACUGUGAAAUCUCCGGGCUUAACCCGGAAAGGUCAGCCGAUACUGCGGGGCUAGAGUGCAGAAGGGGCAACUGGAAUUCUCGGUGUAGCGGUGAAAUGCGUAGAUAUCGAGAGGAACACCUGCGGCGAAGGCGGGUUGCUGGGCUGACACUGACGCUGAUGCGCGAAAGCUAGGGAGCGAACGGG